rnacentral:rRNA from 1 species
GUCUACGGCCACACCGCCCUGAACGCGCCUGAUCCCAGCUGAUCUCGGAAGCUAAGCAGGGUCGGGCCUGAUUAGUACUUGGAAGGGAGAAAUCUUGAAGGAGGAAACU